rnacentral:piRNA from 1 species
UGAAUUGCUGAUUUUACUCGUAGCAGGUGU